AGUGAACGCUGGCGGUAGGCCUAACACAUGCAAGUCGAACGGCAGCACAGUAAGAGCUUGCUCUUACGGGUGGCGAGUGGCGGACGGGUGAGGAAUACAUCGGAAUCUACUUUUUCGUGGGGGAUAACGUAGGGAAACUUACGCUAAUACCGCAUACGACCUACGGGUGAAAGCAGGGGAUCUUCGGACCUUGCGCGAUUGAAUGAGCCGAUGUCGGAUUAGCUAGUUGGCGGGGUAAAGGCCCACCAAGGCGACGAUCCGUAGCUGGUCUGAGAGGAUGAUCAGCAACACUGGAACUGAGACACGGUCCAGACUCCUACGGGGGGCAGCAGUGGGGAAUAUUGGACAAUGGGCGCAAGCCUGAUCCAGCCAUACCGCGUGGGUGAAGAAGGCCUUCGGGUUGUAAAGCCCUUUUGUUGGGAAAGAAAAGCAGCAGGUUAAUACCCCGCUGUUCUGACGGUACCCAAAGAAUAAGCACCGGCUAACUUCGUG
rnacentral:rRNA from 1 species